rnacentral:rRNA from 1 species
UACAGAGGUCUCAAGCGUUUGUUCGGAUUCAUUGGGCGUAAAGGGUGCGUAGGUGGCGCUGUAAGUCGGGUGUGAAAUUUCGGAGCUCAACUCCGAAACUGCAUUCGAUACUGCGGUGCUUGAGGACUGGAGAGGAGACUGGAAUUCAUGGUGUAGCAGUGAAAUGCGUAGAGAUCAUGAGGAAGACCAGUGGCGAAGGCGGGGUCUCUGGA